rnacentral:rRNA from 1 species
UUGAGCGGAGAUUAUGGAGCUUGCUUUAUAUAACUUAGCAGCGAACGGGUGAGUAACACGUAGAUAAUCUAUCCUAUACUGGGGGAUAGCCCGAUGAAAGUUGGAUUAAUACCGCAUAUAGCUAUAUAGUUGCAUGAUUAUGUAGUGAAAGAUUUAUUGGUAUAGGAGGAGUCUGCGGCACAUUAGCUAGUAGGUGAGGUAAAGGCUUACCUAGGCGACGAUGUGUAGCCGGUCUGAGAGGAUGAACGGCCACAAUGGAACUGAGACACGGUCCAUACUCCUACGGGAGGCAGCAGUGGGGAAUAUUGCACAAUGGGGGAAACCCUGAUGCAGCAACGCCGCGUGAGUGAAGAAGGUUUUCGGAUUGUAAAGCUCUGUUAGCAGGGAAGAGGAAGGACGGUACCUGCAGAGGAAGCCACGGCUAACUACGUGCCAGCAGCCGCGGUAAUACGUAGGUGGCAAGCGUUGUUCGGAAUAACUGGGCGUAAAGGAUGCGUAGGCGGUUAAACAAGUUAUAUGUUAAAUAUAUAGGCUUAACCUGUAGAAAGCAUAUAAAACUGUUUAACUAGAGUGCAGGAGAGGUAAGUGGAAUUCCUAGUGUAGCGGUGAAAUGCGUAGAGAUUAGGAAGAACACCAGUGGCGAAGGCGACUUACUGGACUGUAACUGACGCUGAGGCAUGAGAGCAUGGGGAGCAAACAGGAUUUAGAUACCCUGGUAGUCCAUGCUGUANACGAUGGGUACUAGGUNUGGGUUGUGAAUAACAAUUCGUGCCGU